rnacentral:lncRNA from 1 species
AGCACCAGAGUUAGAGCUAAACCGUGAGUCUGCUAUUCAGGUGGGCUUUCUACGUAUAAACUAAAAUUAUAUAUUAGAAUUGUUAAGACUUUAUGCUUAUGAAUUUAAAUGAUAUUGUCAAUGCCUAAAUGCUUUAUGUUUUAUUAUUAAUUGCCUAUCUGAUGUUAAUCGAAUUCGGAUUCUGGAUGGGACCGCAAAUCCCUUCGGAAUUAGUGUACACCUUGUGAUCGUGAGUCAUCUAGCGGGUUGGCCGAUCAUAGUGUCCGUAGAGGGAGGCCUCCCUCUCGGCACGAGUUACUGAUAUGGUGAUUAAUGAUAUAAAAUACCUGCGCGGGUUAUUGAUGAAAGAAAUGAUAUUAUGUUUGGUAAAUACGAGUCUUUAAAGGAAAACCCUCGUAUCUUACUACUGUGAAAGGCUUGACAAUAAAAUAUUAUGCAUAUAUGUAAAUUUCGGCAAGUGUCCACUAAGUACUUUUGUACUUAGCCCUGCAUGUAUUUUUAAAUGUGCAGGUUGAGCUGUGAUCGAGAAUGUAGUGUGCAAGCGGAGCUUUUGUCAAUUUAGGACGAGAACCUCAGAGUGGAGUAUAUGUCUUCAUACAUAUACUCAAGUUAUUAUUAUUCCGCUGCGAACACUGAUUAUGUUAAGAUAUUAUAUCAUUUGUCAAACAAUAUGUAUUAUUUAAUAAUGUGCUAAAACCAUUGAGUACCCCGUUUUGGGAUAAUAUUAUGUACGGUCCCCUUGUGGCCUUCAUUGAUAUCUAGA